CUUUGGCAACCCACUUCGCCUGCUCUCCACAGGGGGAAAGCCCAGUGUCCAGGAAGCUGAGGAGGGGUGGGGGGAAGCCUCAGGGUGGGUGGGCCAGCAGCAGGCGAGGCCCCUCUUCCCCUUGCAGACAGCUGCCGUGGGCACACAGACCCAUGCGGUCUACAUCCGGGGCCCAACCAGACCUCUCCAGCCUGCAGCCAGGAGACGCCAAAGUCCAGAUGCUGCAUGUUCCUUCUGCCAGGUGGUGACUUUGGGGUGUGUGGGUAGGGGAAUACCAGUCAUGUCUGGGGACCCUUGCCAUGCAAAUCCUUCUGGAACUGGGGCACAACCUCGCCCCAAACUGGGCAGCCCCCUAGGCAAAGGCUGCGGUUGCAAGACCGGCAUGAUCUGGGAGACUAAAUCUGGGGGGGCGAUGAGGAGCCCUGGGCCAAUCCUCCCACUUUGGGGGACUGCAGGGGUCUCAGAUGUGGGCUCUGUAGGUUUGAGCUCUGUGAGGCAGGAUUUGGCCUCUGUGGGGCAGGAGAAGCCUCGACCCGGGAAGAAACUGGAAAGAACGAUGCCUCUCAAGAUUUGGAGAGGUGGGUUAAGCCCCUUCUCGGGGCUGGAUUCCUGUGGGGUGAGGCAGCGCCCCCCAACCCCCUGGGCCAUCGUGGGGGCCCUGGCAGUAGGUCUGUUGGCUUGUCUCUUCAUGCUGUUCAGCAUCCAAGCCAGCCUGGAAAGCUUGAAAGAGGAGCUGGCCAUGGUGCGGAGAGAAGGAGUGUGUCAGGUCCCCGGAACGGAUGGACAACGGGAUGCCUCUGACUUACGGCAGAGGGAUGUUGGCGGCCCGGUGGCCCACGUGCUAAGGACGAGAUGGACAAGGGAUGUGGCGAAAAAAAUCCAACAAGAACCUCUCAUGCGUCCCCGCAGUGAGUAGACCGUACUUAGAAAGAACAACAUGGAGUAAAUAUAACUUAGCAUUGUCUGCUUCAAG
ensembl:lncRNA